rnacentral:lncRNA from 1 species
AGGUGACAUUUAAUUUUAAGAUGAAUAGGAAAUUGAAGAUAAAUAGAUUUUACUAUAAACUUUUAAAGAAUUCUGUACAACAGAAAAUCUUAAAAUUAACUCAAGUUGGAAAAGUAUUAACAAAAACAUACUGGACAAAAUUACCAUCCUUUGUACAUAUGCAUCAAUUUUUGUAAUGCCCACUAAUACUCCAGUUAAAGCAAAUAGGGCUAAGUACAUAGCCUUUGGAGACAAGUGUUCCAGGACCUGAUGCUGGGUGUGUCACUUUGAGACGGAGUCUCGCUCUGUUGCCAGGCUGGAGUGCAGUGGCAUGAUCUCAGCUCACUGCAACCUCCGACUCCCUGGUUCAAGCAAUUCUCCUGCCUCAGCCUUCUGAGUAGCUGGGAUUACAGGCAUGUGCCACCAUGCCCAGCUAAAUUUUUUUUUUUUUUGUAUUUUUUAGUAGAGAACGGGGUUUCACCAUGUUGGCCAGGAUGGUCUCAAUCCCCUGACCUCGUGAUCUGCCUGCCUCAGCCUCCCAAAGUACUGGGAUUACAAGCGUGAGCCACGGCAACCAGCCCUAGUGUUAAUGAUUAAUAACCCUCACCUCCAACUUUCAUUCUAGAAGUCUCCUAAUUUGGAUGACAAAUUAUAUAUGGCAAUAACCUACAGGUCACAUUUGACAGUUUACUUUAAAAGUAAACAGCUUCCAAAUUAACCCAUCUUGGGAAGGUCUUGUGAUUCAUGGCGAUACCUUGUCCUGAGUAAGGAAUCUUAGAAGUUCCUCAAAUUGUUGAUGUACUGAUCAAUGCACCACCUACUGACACUGAAAAGGACACUGAUUUAUUUCUGAGUCAUAACAUUUUACUGAUUGUCUUGCAUGUAGACAUGUUAGUCUGCAUGUUGCAAUCUGUAGCCAAUUAUUGUAACCUUUGUAUUGUACCCUCCAGUGAAAAAGGACAACUGAUAUCAUUUCCUUUCCCUUUCAGUUUAUACCUUGUGAUCCCUCCAGCCCAUUCAUACUCUUGCCACUACCCCAGUCCUUUUGUUUACUAGUCUUGCAAAGGCUAAGCUCACAAUAAGUCAAACCAUUUUACUCUUCACUCUCAAUCCAGGAUGCUGACUUAAGAUACAAGAAAGAAGGGGGGCUGUUGAUGGGUGCAAGGAAACAUGGGUUGAGAGAGUAACAAGUGGGCUGAGGGUCCAAUUGUGAUUGGAAAUGUAAAUGUGUCAAGACACCAACUCACAUGGUUGUGUGAUUUCCUCCAGUGACCCAGGGUAGGAGUACAGUGACCAAAUGGUUGGAUUUAGGGCCUUGCAGUAGAGGUGAAUGGAAUGAUAAGACAACGAAGGAACUGAGAUAGACGGAAGCAAAGGGCCAUAGUAGUAUCUAAAUUGAAGAGGAAAGGGAGUAAAAGCAUAACUUCUGUUGGGCCUAGUAUGUACACUGUAUCCAUCUACUUUCUUUUUCUUUAUUUGGGGUAUAUGAGAACCUGGCACAGUGUUAAUAAGACCCAAGUGUUCAGAAGAGAAUGCAAGCCAGGCUAAUGAAGGUGGCAGGAAUAGCACCAUCUCUCCUGGACCAUUCACCACACACAAAUGUGACUGCGGUGACAUGGAGAUCUAAAAUGAUCUAAUGCAGCCAGUUGGUAAGGGCUCAAGGCUAGAUUUCAUCUUUCAGGGUAAUGAGAUGUAGCAUCAGUAAUUGAGAGUGCAGGCUUGAAGGCAGGGGGCUACAAUCCAAGAACACCAGGGGAUUCCUGAAACCUCAGAUAGUACUGAACACUAUAUAUACUAGGUUUUUUCCUAUACAUACAUUGUAAAGUGAAGACAAGAAUAUCAAUCGCGUAAAGCUAUUGUGAGGAUGAAAUGAGGUCAUGUACUAUUGUUAGUAUUAUUCUUGUAAUAAUACAAUAGCAGAGCAAAUUGAUACUUGCCCAGGACCUCCUAAUUUCUGCCUUAACCUGGCAUCUAGCUUAGAACACAUUAACAUAGUUAAUAACUUAUAUUAUCCAAAUUUAACUCAGCCAAGACCUGCUGCCAAGUGCAUCUGUCGGGUGCAUCUGCCAUACACCCCUUACCAGAAGCGUCCAAACACGGAUUUGAGGGAUCUACAGCAGACACUGGACAGAUGCUCUGAAUCAUUCUCUACUCUGAUGCUGAAGCUAUAAUAUUGGACUAAGCUUGGGCCUUCUACUCUUUUCUUUCUUUCUUUUUUUUUUUUUUGAGACGGAGUCUUACUCUGUUGCCCAGGCUGGAGUGCAGU